GUAGGUGGCGAGCGUUAUCCGGAUUUGCUGGGUGUAAAGAGGGAGCAGGCGGCUUUUCAAGUCGAAUAUAAAAUCUCCCGGCUUAACCGGGAGGGACUAUUCGAUACUGUUGGGCUAGAGGGCAGCAGAGGGAGGUGGAAUUCCCGGUGGAGUGGUGAAAUGCGUAGAUAUCGGGAGGAGCACCAGUGGCGAAGGCGGCCUCCUGGGCUGUUUCUGACGCUGAGGCCCGAGAGCGUGGGGAGCAACAGGAUUAGAUACCCUGGUAGUCCACACUGUAAACGAUGGGCACUCGGUGCCCGCGGGUAUUGACCCCCCUGCGGUGCCAUAGCUAACGCGUUAAGUGCCCCCGCCUGGGGAGUACGGUCGCAAGGCUG
rnacentral:rRNA from 1 species